AAAGUUUCUUACGCCACGGCCAUGGACUGGUUCAUCGCCGUUUGCUUUGCCUUC
rfam:Gasterosteus aculeatus cont1.000718, whole genome shotgun sequence.